rnacentral:rRNA from 1 species
AUACGUAGGGAGCGAGCGUUGUCCGGAAUUACUGGGUAUAAAGGGAGCGUAGGCGGGCGUGCAAGUCAGAUGUGAAAUGCAUGGGCUUAACCCAUGAGCUGCAUUUGAAACUGCAUUUCUUGAGUGAAGUAGAGGUAAGCGGAAUUCCUGGUGUGGCGGUGAAAUGCGUAGAUAUCAGGAGGAACACCGGUGGUGAAGGCGGCUUACUGGGCUUUUACUGACGCUGAGGCUCGAAAGCGUGGGGAGCAAACAGGAUUAGAUACCCUGGUAGUCCACGCUGUAAACGAUGAUUACUAGGUGUGGGGGGACUGACCCCUUCCGUGCCGCAGUUAGCACAAUAAGUAAUCCACCUGGGGAGUACGGCCGCAAGGUUGAAACUCAAAUGAAUUGACGGGG